rnacentral:rRNA from 1 species
GACGAACGCUGGCGGCGUGCUUAACACAUGCAAGUCGAACGGGAUUUAGUAAACGGAAGCCUCGGUGGAAGAUUACUAAUGAGAGUGGCGAACGGGUGAGUAACGCGUGAGCAACCUGCCUAUGACAGUGGGAUAGCCUCGGGAAACCGGGAUUAAUACCGCAUAAAAUCGUAGAAACACAUGUUUCAACGGUCAAAGAUUUAUCGGUCAUAGAUGGGCUCGCGUCUGAUUAGCUAGUUGGUGAGAUAACAGCCCACCAAGGCGACGAUCAGUAGCCGGUCUGAGAGGAUGAACGGCCACAUUGGAACUGAGACACGGUCCAAACUCCUACGGGAGGCAGCAGUGGGGAAUAUUGCACAAUGGGGGAAACCCUGAUGCAGCGACGCCGCGUGAACGAAGAAGGUAGUCGUAUCGUAAAGUUCUGUCCUAUGGGAAGAUAAUGACAGUACCAUAGAAGAAAGCUCCGGCUAAAUACGUG